AUUGAACGCUGGCGGCAGGCCUAACACAUGCAAGUCGAGCGGAUGAAGGGAGCUUGCUCCUGGAUUCAGCGGCGGACGGGUGAGUAAUGCCUAGGAAUCUGCCUGGUAGUGGGGGAUAACGUCCGGAAACGGGCGCUAAUACCGCAUACGUCCUGCGGGAGAAAGUGGGGGAUCUUCGGACCUCACGCUAUCAGAUGAGCCUAGGUCGGAUUAGCUAGUUGGUGGGGUAAAGGCCUACCAAGGCGACGAUCCGUAACUGGUCUGAGAGGAUGAUCAGUCACACUGGAACUGAGACACGGUCCAGAGUCCGACGGGAGGAAGCAGUGGGGAAUAUUGGAAAAAGGGCAGAAGACUGAUCCAGCCAUGCCGCGUGUGUGAAGAAGGUAUGCGGAUUGUAAAGCACUUUAAGUUGGGAGGAAGGGCAGUAAGUUAAUAACUUGCUGUUUUGACGUUACAAACAGAAUAAGCACAGGCUAACUUAGUG
rnacentral:rRNA from 1 species